UAGGGAAUCUUCGGCAAUGGGGGGAACCCUGACCGAGCAACGCCGCGUGAGUGAAGAAGGUUUUCGGUUCGUAAAACUCUGUUGUUAGAGAAGAACAGCGCAUAGAGUAACUGUUAUGCGUGUGACGGUAUCUAACCAGAAAGCCACGGCUAACUACGUGCCAGCAGCCGCGGUAAUACGUAGGUGGCAAGCGUUGUCCGGAUUUAUUGGGCGUAAAGCGAGCGCAGGCGGUCAAUUAAGUCUGAUGUGAAAGCCCACGGCUCAACCGUGGUGGGUCAUUGGAAACUGGAAAACUUGAGUGCAGAAGAGGAAAGUGGAAUUCCAUGUGUAGCGGUGAAAUGCGUAGAUAUAUGGAGGAACACCAGUGGCGAAGGCGACUCUCUGGUCUGUAACUGACGCUGAGGCUCGAAAGCGUGGGUAGCAAACAGG
rnacentral:rRNA from 1 species